GAUGAACGCUAGCGGCAGGCCUAACACAUGCAAGUCGAGGGGCAGCACAGAAACAGCAAUGUUUUGGUGGCGACCGGCGGACGGGUGCGUAACGCGUAUGCAACCUACCUUUAACAGGGGGAUAACGGAGAGAAAUUUCCACUAAUACCCCAUAACAUCGAUCAAGGCAUCUUGAUUGGUUGAAAACUCCGGUGGUUAAAGAUGGGCAUGCGUUGUAUUAGGUAGUUGGUGAGGUAAUGGCUGACCAAGCCUACGAUACAUAGGGGGACUGCGAGGUUCGCCCCCCACACUGGUACUGAGACCCGGACCAGACUCCUACGGGAGGCAGCAGUGAGGAAUAUUGGUCAAUGGGGGCAACCCUGAACCAGCCAUGCCGCGUGCAGGAAGACGGCUCUAUGAGUUGUAAACUGCUUUUAAACAGGGAUAAAGCACAGUAUGUAUACUGUGUUGAAGGUACUGUAAGAAUAAGGAUCGGCUAACUCCGUGCCAGCCGCCGCCGUAA
rnacentral:rRNA from 1 species